rnacentral:rRNA from 1 species
AGUGAACGCUGGCGGUAUGCCUAACACAUGCAAGUCGAACGGCAGCACAGUAAGAGCUUGCUCUUACGGGUGGCGAGUGGCGGACGGGUGAGGAAUACAUCGGAAUCUACUUUUUCGUGGGGGAUAACGUAGGGAAACUUACGCUAAUACCGCAUACGACCUACGGGUGAAAGCAGGGGAUCUUCGGACCUUGCGCGAUUGAAUGAGCCGGUGUCGGAUUAGCUAGUUGGCGGGGUAAAGGCCCACCAAGGCGACGAUCCGUAGCUGGCCUGAGAGGAUGAUCAGCCACACUGGAACUGAGACACGGUCCAGACUCCUACGGGAGGCAGCAGUGGGGAAUCUUGGACAAUGGGCGCAAGCCUGAUCCAGCCAUACCGCGUGGGUGAUGAAGGCCUUCGGGUUGUAAAGCCCUUUUGUUGGGAAAGAAAAGCAGCAGGUUAAUACCCCGCUGUUCUGACGGUACCCAAAGAAUAAGCCCCGGCUAACUUCGUG